AUUCACAAGUGUAACAUCCUCUUGAGACGAUACAGCAGAUAUAAAACUGGUAGAUGAAACAGAAUGGCUAUCAGAAGAAUCCUGUAAACCUCCAUUAUCAUUCAAUGUGCCAGUAUCAUUCUGGAGAGUGGCAUUCUUGACAAAUCGGAUGAAAAUUUUUUUUUCAUACUAUCGUUACGAUUUAAAACCGAACCGGAACCAACGAUAGAUUGACGUAAACUAGACGUUCUACUUCCGCUUAAACCAUGACUCAUAUCUUCAUCGGCAGAAUAAAAUGCUUCUGAAUGAUUCUCUGAUGACAUUGAGAUAGUUCUUUGAACCUAGGUAAAAAAAAUAAGGACUGGCAUCAACCAAUCGAGAAUAUGGAACAUCUUUUAUAUUGGAUGCACUGUAAUAAAAAAAGAUAGGUGAAAAAUGUAUAUAUAUAUAUAUAUAUUAUCACCUGUAAAAAUAAUUAUAUUAUAUUUUAGAAUAUAGACCUUGGACGAUCAAUAUUUUUCUUUGAAGUUUGCAAUCCUUCUUGAGCAAUAGUUACUUUGACUCCUGUGACAGGAUAACACGAGUCUUGCAAAGAUACAUCUUGUAAACUAUAUGGAGGUGUAUGAAAAACUAAUUGAUUAUCAUGUAAAAUAGACUGUCCAAAUCCUUUUUCUU